rnacentral:rRNA from 1 species
UCCACAGAACUUACCAGAGAUGCUUUGGUGCCUUCGGGAACUGUGAGACAGGUGCUGCAUGGCUGUCGUCAGCUCGUGUUGUGAAAUGUUGGGUUAAGUCCCGCAACGAGCGCAACCCUUAUCCUUUGUUGCCAGCGGUUAGGCCGGGAACUCAAAGGAGACUGCCAGUGAUAAACUGGAGGAAGGUGGGGAUGACGUCAAGUCAUCAUGGCCCUUACGACCAGGGCUACACACGUGCUACAAUGGCAUAUACAAAGAGAAGCGACCUCGCGAGAGCAAGCGGACCUCAUAAAGUAUGUCGUAGUCCGGAUUGGAGUCUGCAACUCGACUCCAUGAAGUCGGAAUCGCUAGUAAUCGUAGAUCAGAAUGCUACGGUGAAUACGUUCCCGGGCCUUGUACACACCGCCCGUCACACCAUGGGAGUGGGUUGCAAAAGAAGUAGGUAGCUUAACCUUC